GGGUGGUUAGCGGAUGGAGUGGAAGUACAGGUAUGAAAUAUUCCUUUGAGGAAGCAGCGUGCUGCCCACUGGAGACUUUGUGUGUAAGUGAAAAUUGUGAGAUCUACUGGAGUAUGGGAAAGGAUGCCUUUAUGUUUCAAGUGGGCAGGAAGUUCAGAGAAGAAAGCAGGAGAGAAGAGAUUCAGGAUCGUAUCAGCUCUCCUAAGUAGCAGUUCACCAGCACAAUCAGUGGAUGUAUUACUCAUAGACAGCCUU
rnacentral:lncRNA from 1 species